AUUGAACGCUGGCGGCAUGCCUUACACAUGCAAGUCGAACGGCAGCACGGGUGCUUGCACCUGGUGGCGAGUGGCGAACGGGUGAGUAAUACAUCGGAACAUGUCCUGUAGUGGGGGAUAGCCCGGCGAAAGCCGGAUUAAUACCGCAUACGAUCUACGGAUGAAAGCGGGGGACCUUCGGGCCUCGCGCUGUAGGGUUGGCCGAUGGCUGAUUAGCUAGUUGGUGGGGUAAAGGCCUACCAAGGCGACGAUCAGCAGCUGGUCUGAGAGGACGACCAGCCAAACUGGGACUGAGACACGGCCCAGACUCCUACGGGAGGCAGCAGUGGGGAAUUUUGGACAAUGGGCGAAAGCCUGAUCCAGCAAUGCCGCGUGUGUGAAGAAGGCCUUCGGGUUGUAAAGCACUUUUGUCCGGAAAGAAAUCCUUGGCCCUAAUACGGUCGGGGAAUGACGGUACCGGAAGAAUAGGCACCGGCUAACUACGU
rnacentral:rRNA from 1 species